UGAAUACGAGAUGCUACGGCGUCGAAGCAGUCUAUGUCAUACUUCCAAGAAAAGCUUGCACUGUCAUAAACAAAUAAUGCCUGUACCAUAACCGACACAGGUGGGUAGGUAGAGUAUACUAAGGGGCGCGAGAUAACUCUCUCUAAGGAACUCGGCAAAAUGACUCCGUAACUUCGGGAGAAGGAGUGCCUUAUUUAUAAGGUUGCAAUAACAAGAUCCAAGCAACUGUUUACCAAAAACACAGGUCUCCGCUAAGUCGUAAGACGAUGUAUGGGGGCUGACGCCUGCCCAGUGCCAGAAGGUUAAAGAAGUUGGUUAGCAUCCGCGAAGCUGAUAACUGAAGCCCUGGUGAACGGCGGCCGUAACCAUAACGGUCCUAAGGUAGCGAAAUUCCUUGUCGGGUAAGUUCCGACCCGCACGAAAGGCGUAAUGAUUUGGAUACUGUCUCGGAGAGGGGCUCGGUGAAAUAGACUUGUCUGUGAAGAUGCGGACUACCUGCACCAGGACAGAAAGACCCUAUGAAGCUUUACUGUAACCUGAAAUUGAAAUUGGACUUUACUUGCGCAGUAUAGGUGGGAGGCGUUGAGAAUAUUCUUGCGGGAUUAUUGGAGCCAUCAGUGAGAUACCACUCUUGUAAUGUUAGAUUUCUAACUUUGUAUCAUUAUCUGGUCAAAGAACAGUUUCAGGCGGGCAGUUUGACUGGGGCGGUCGCCUCCUAAACGGUAACGGAGGCGCACAAAGGUUUCCUCUGAACGGGUAGAAAUCGUAUCUAGAGUGUAAAGGCAUAAGGAAGCUUGACUGUGAGACCUACAAGUCGAGCAGGGACGAAAGUCGGUCUUAGUGAUCCGACGGUGCUGAGUGGAAAGGCCGUCACUCAACGGAUAAAAGUUACUCUAAGGAUAACAGGCUGAUCUCCCCCAAGAGUUCACAUCGACGGGGAGGUUUGGCACCUCGAUGUCGGCUCAUCGCAUCCUGGGGCGGUAGUACGUCCCAAGGGUUGGGCUGUUCGCCCAUGAAAGCGGUACGCGAGCUGGGUUCAGAACGUCGUGAGACAGUUCGGUCCAUAUCCGGUGUAGGCGUUAGAAUAUUGAGAGGAGCCUUCUUUAGUACGAGAGGACCGAGAAGGACAUACCUCUGGUGUACCAGUUAUCGUGCCAACGGUAAACGCUGGGUAGCUAUGUGUGGAGUGGAUAACCGCUGAAAGCAUCUAAGUGGGAAGCCCACCUCAAGAUAAGUA
rnacentral:rRNA from 1 species